rnacentral:rRNA from 1 species
GUGUCAGCCGCCGCGGUAAUACGUAGGGGGCGAGCGUUGUCCGGAAUUACUGGGCGUAAAGGGUGCGUAGGCGGCCCUUUAAGUCGGAUGUGAAAGCCCGCGGCUUAACCGCGGAAUGGCAUUCGAAACUGGAGGGCUUGAGUGUCGGAGAGGGUAGUGGAAUUCCCAGUGUAGCGGUGAAAUGCGUAGAUAUUGGGAGGAACACCAGUGGCGAAGGCGACUACCUGGACGAUAACUGACGCUGAGGCACGAAAGCUAGGGGAGCAAACAGGAUUAGAUACCCUGGUAGUCCUAGCCGUAAACGAUGGGUACUAGGUGUGGGCGCGUCAAGCGUCUGUGCCGUAGUUAACGCAUUAAGUACCCCGCCUGGGGAGUACGUGCGCAAGCAUGAAACUUAAAUGAAUUGACGG